CUGCUUGAGUGUGCGUAGUUUUCAUCUAUGACUGGUAGCAGUGUCUGUCAUGAUUUGCAUGCAGAUCUUGUUAUCCACACAAUUACCAUGCAGCCGAAGAGAAACUUGAGAUCAUAGUACUGGUUAGUGCUGUCUCUUAUGACACUUCUACCACAGGCCAGCCUCCGAAUUCCUGCACACAC
ensembl:snoRNA